AAUCCGCUCUUCAAUCUGCAACUUUAAUAUAAUUCUUCUGUAUUAGCAUUAAACUACAUACCGCGUGGUAUUUACCCGCGUUUCUUCUAUAAUGGCCCCUUUGUCCUUGUUUUUUUGUCUUAUAAAGUUCUUUCCUGCUGAUGCGUCCGUGCGCAUUUAAAUCCGAGCUGACAGGGAAGUCAUAUGCAAAUUUCACGGCAAAAAAGGACGCUUUCUUUAGUGAUGCAUGCCACACAGGUCGGCCCUCCCCACCAGAAGCUCUGUUCCUUCCAAAAUUGCUACAACUAAUGCAAAAUGCGUUUUUUUUUUAAGUCUAGGCAACUAGACUUAAAGAUGUUUCGACACGUUUGGACGAGAUACAGCAUGGGCCCGACGAGGAAUUGUGGAUUUGAAACAUUUAUUGGACAAAAUUAGAAAACGUGGAAAACAAAGGACGUAGGAAACAGUUAAGUGUUACAUACAUAUUGCGAAACAAUUUGGGUUUUCCAUUUUUUUGCCCUGGUAAUAUGUCGCAGCCAACUGAGCGUUAAAAAUGUGCUUGUGACGUGUUUUCUGAUUAUCAUGUCAGUCUUGCAGUUAAUGCUUGAAGAAGUGACUGAACAGCUUUAAUAGAACAACAAAAACAACGUGGCUAAAGCUACAUAUGUUGAGUCUUUUUGUGAAGUGAAGAGUUCUGGUUUGAAUUAAAAUGCAGCUAAUUGGAGGGUUAAAGGGCAUAGUUCCCUCUGGGGCGUAGUCACUUCGUGGUCAUUUUGGUCCAUCAUCACAUUUGUCUCUUGUGUGUUUUCGUACUGUGAUAUUACACUCUGCUACGUCAGGUUCAAACUGCUCAGUAUUUUUCAUUCAAUAAAUUGUGAGAAGUCGA